GGCUCAGGAUGAACGCUGGAGGCGUGCUUAAUACAUGCAAGUCGAACGAGGUGCUUUUGUAGCAAUACGAAAGUAUCCUAGUGGCGAACGGGUGAGUAACACGUGGAUCAUCUACCUUUUAGUGGGGAAUACCUCUGGGAAACCGGAGACAAUACCGCAUAAGCCCGCAAGGGGAAAGCAGCAAUGCGCUGAAAGAGGAGUCCGCGGCCGAUUAGCUAGUUGGCGGGGUAAUGGCCCACCAAGGCGAAGAUCGGUAGCCGGCCUGAGAGGGCACACGGCCACACUGGCACUGAAACACGGGCCAGACUCCUACGGGAGGCAGCAGUGGGGAAUCUUGCACAAUGGACGAAAGUCUGAUGCAGCGACGCCGCGUGAGCGAUGAAGCCCUUCGGGGUGUAAAGCUCUUUCGACGGGAACGAUAAUGACGGUACCCGGAGAAGAAGCUGCGGCUAACUACGUGCCAGCAGCCGCGGUAAUACGUAGGCAGCGAGCGUUGUUCGGAAUUACUGGGCGUAAAGAGUGUGUAGGCGGUGUUCCCAGUCUGUUGUGAAAUCUCCCGGCUUAACUGGGAGGGUGCAGCGGAAACUAGAAUGCUAGAGGGUGGGAGAGGUAAGCGGAAUUCCUGGUGUAGCGGUGAAAUGCGUAGAUAUCAGGAGGAACACCUGUGGUGUAGACAGCUUACUGGACCACUUCUGACGCUGAGACACGAAAGCGUGGGUAGCAAACAGGAUUAGAUACCCUGGUAGUCCACGCCCUAAACGAUGCAUACUUGGUGUGAGCGAUUCAUUUCGUUCGUGCCGGAGCUAACGCGUUAAGUAUGCCGCCUGGGGAGUACGGUCGCAAGGCUGAAACU
rnacentral:rRNA from 1 species